rnacentral:rRNA from 1 species
UGGCGGACGGGCGAGUAACGCGUGGGUAACCUGCCUUGCACUGGGGGAUAACACUUAGAAAUAGGUGCUAAUACCGCAUAAGCGCACGGUCCUGCAUGGGACAGUGUGAAAAACUCCGGUGGUGCAAGAUGGACCCGCGUCUGAUUAGCUGGUUGGCGGGGUAACGGCCCACCAAGGCAGCGAUCAGUAGCCGGCCUGAGAGGGUGGACGGCCACAUUGGGACUGAGACACGGCCCAAACUCCUACGGGAGGCAGCAG